rnacentral:rRNA from 1 species
UACGAAGGGUGCAAGCGUUACUCGGAAUUACUGGGCGUAAAGCGUGCGUAGGCGGUUUGUUAAGUCUGUCGUGAAAGCCCCGGGCUCAACCUGGGAAUGGCGAUGGAUACUGGCGAGCUAGAGUACGGUAGAGGAGAGUGGAAUUCCGGGUGUAGCGGUGGAAUGCGUAGAGAUCCGGAAGAACACCGGUGGCGAAGGCGGCCUGCUGGGCAGUAGCUGACGCUGAGGCGCGACAGCGUGGGGAGCAAACAGG